rnacentral:rRNA from 1 species
CAGCAGUAGCCGCGGGAAUACGUAGGGUGCAAGCGUUAAUCGGAAUUACUGGGCGUAAAGCGUGCGCAGGCGGUUAUACAAGACAGAUGUGAAAUCCCCGGGCUCAACCUGGGAACUGCAUUUGUGACUGUAUAGCUAGAGUACGGCAGAGGGGGAUGGAAUUCCGCGUGUAGCAGUGAAAUGCGUAGAUAUGCGGAGGAACACCGAUGGCGAAGGCAAUCCCCUGGGCCUGUACUGACGCUCAUGCACGAAAGCGUGGGGAGCAAACAGGAUUAGAGACCCCCGUAGUCCCUGUCUCUUAUAC